AAAUAAAGGAUCGGUAAAAAUAAAAUAAAAAAUAAAUGAAGGAUAUUAAUAGAGAAAAAUGAAGGAUAAAAAUAAAAGGAAUAAAAUAAAUAAAGGUUCGGUAAAAGUAGAAUAAAAAAUAAAUUAAGGAUAUUAAUAGAGAAAAAUGAAGGAUAAAAAUAAAAGAAAUAAAAUAAAUAAAGGUUCGGUAAAAAUAAAAUAAAAAAUAAAUUAAGGAUAUUAAUAGAGAAAAAUAAAGGAUAAAAAUAAAAUAAAUAAAGGAUCGGUAAAAAUAAAAAAAAACAA
rnacentral:misc_RNA from 1 species